rnacentral:rRNA from 1 species
UACGGGGGGGGCAAGCGUUGUUCGGAAUUACUGGGCGUAAAGGGCGCGUAGGCGGCCUGUUAAGUCGAACGUGAAAUCCCUGGGCUCAACCCAGGAACUGCGUCCGAUACUGGCAGGCUUGAAUCCGGGAGAGGGAUGUGGAAUUCCAGGUGUAGCGGUGAAAUGCGUAGAUAUCUGGAGGAACACCGGUGGCGAAGGCGGCAUCCUGGACCGGUAUUGACGCUGAGGCGCGAAAGCCAGGGGAGCAAACGGG